AAACCGACACAGGUGGGUGAGGAGAGUAUCCUAAGGCCAGCGAGAGAACUGUUGUUAAGGAACUCGGCAAAAUGACCCCGUAACUUAGGGAUAAGGGGUGCCACCAUCAGGUGGCCGCAGAGAAUAGGCCCAAGCGACUGUUUACCAAAAACAUAGGUUUCUUCUAAGUCGCAAGACGAUGUAUAGGAGCUGACGCCUGCCCGGUGCUGGAAGGUGAAGGGGAUCUGUUAGAGCAAUCGAAGCAGUGAACUUAAGCCCCAGUAAACGGCGGCCGUAACUAUAACGGUCCUAAGGUAGCGAAAUUCCUUGUCGGGUAAGUUCCGACCCGCACGAAAGGCGUAACGAUUUGGGCACUGUCUCAACAACAGACUCGGUGAAAUUGUAAUUCCGGUGAAGAUGCCGGAUACCUGCGACAGGACGGAAAGACCCCAUGGAGCUUUACUGUAGCUUGACAUUGGGUCUUGGUACUACAUGUACAGGAUAGGUGGGAGGCUUUGAAACCAGGACGCCAGUUUUGGCGGAGCCAUCCUUGGGAUACCACCCUUGUAGUACUGGGACUCUAACCAUAGGCCAUGAAUCUGGUCUUGGGACACUGUCAGGUGGGCAGUUUGACUGGGGCGGUCGCCUCCCAAAAGGUAACGGAGGCGCUCAAAGGUUCUCUCAGUACGGUCGGAAAUCGUACGUAGAGUGUAAAGGCAAAAGAGAGCUUGAUUGCAAGACAUACAGGUCGAGCAAGGAUGAAAAUCGGACUUAGUGAUCCGGUGGUUCUGCGUGGAAGGGCCAUCGCUCAACGGAUAAAAGCUACCCUGGGGAUAACAGGCUUAUCUCCCCCAAGAGUCCACAUCGACGGGGAGGUUUGGCACCUCGAUGUCGGCUCAUCACAUCCUGGGGCUGUAGUAGGUCCCAAGGGUUGGGCUGUUCGCCCAUUAAAGUGGUACGCGAGCUGGGUUCAGAACGUCGUGAGACAGUUCGGUCCCUAUCCGUCGCAGGCGUAGGAAAUUUGAGAAGACCUGUCCUUAGUACGAGAGGACCGGGAUGGACGUACCUCUGGUGUACCAGUUGU
rnacentral:rRNA from 1 species